CAUGCAGAAUGAAACAUGACUCAAGUGUCAACUCCUGAAAGUCUGUAUCUUGUUAGAUCCCAAGUUCACAAGGAUGUGCAAGUGUUAGGAAGAAAAGAAACCAAGAGAAAGAGAGAAGAAACAGAGGAUUUGACAGAAGAGAAAGAGAGAUAAGGAAGGCGAUUAUUAUUUUUUGAGGUAGAAAAAGAAAGAAGAAUCUUGACUGUAUUCAAUUGCAUAAAAUCUAGGGAUAAAUUACAACCAUGGUACCUGAACUUAAGGUGUAUAAUAAAAAAG
rnacentral:misc_RNA from 1 species